UUUCAAUGAUUUUGGUACAUUACAUAGAUUUUAAGUUUUAUAUAAUAAGUUUUUGUUGGUUGUUAAAAAACAUUUAAUUAAUUGAUCAUGAAAAAAAUUCAUAAGAAAAAAAUGUGUACUUGUGCCCCUAGCAGCUUCAUGAGGGGUACAUUAGAAGGUUGCCUCUCCAUAUCAAGGCUACCCAUUAGGAUUGUGCAAGAGAGACCAAGCUUGGCGCAUACAGCCGCAGUUGCGACUCCAUUUUGGCCCGAACCUGUGGCUGUGACUAUGCUUGUACGACCCAUAUGUUUAGCAAGCAUGGCUUGUGCAAGAGCAUUGUUGAUCUUGUGAGCAUCUCCAUGAUUCAGAUCCUCCCUCUUUAUGUAAAUUUGCGGCCCUUCCCCAUUUUUGUUCUUAUAAUGAUUUGUUAGCCUUUCAGCAUAGUAUAAGGGUGUUUCCCUCCCUACAUAGUCCCUCAAAGCUGUUUCCAACUCUUCCUGCCAUAAGACAAUAAUAAAAGUGUUAAUAUAGAAAGAGUAUAUAACAUAUCUGAUGUGUUUCCGUUGAAAAUUUAAGUUGAUGUUAUCUCCAACCAACGAUUCUUAUCGUGGUUUUGAAAAUGUUGUUAACUAUGGUUUUAGCAACAUUUAUGAACAUGACAGGCCAAGGGCUUUGAUUGAUGCUUAUGGCCAUGACGAUGGGCAAAGGCCUUUGAAUGAGAAACCUCUGGGUAUGAAUGGCCUGAAUGUGAAUGGUGUAUUUAGUAAAAUUCCUGAAACCUCAUGGCAGAACACUGAAGAAGAAGAAGAAUUUAACUGGGAAGAUAUGAACCCUACAUUAGCUGAUGGGAAGACCAGGAAUGCAACUCUGCCGCCCAGAGUUGUUGGAGCUAUGCCUGAUAUUAGUUCUCUCAGCUCCAGGCAUGUUGAUCCCAUUUUCAGAAGGAAUGGGGCAGCGUCUAAUCAGAUAUCUGGGCUAGGGGAUUCUUUAAAAGCAGUUGAAGAUGGUAAAUUAUCUCGUGUUCCAAGAAAUGAGAUGAAUCAUUCUCAGGGAGCUUGGAAGUUGCAUGCUAAUCUUUCUGUACCUGCAGCUGUUACUGGCAGAGAAAAUAUAAAUGCAAAUGGAGGGUCUUCAUCUUUGUUUGAUGAAAAACCUCAUUCAGCUAAUCAAUUUUCUGCAGUCCCAAUGCAGCUUAGUGAGGUCUCUAAUGUUAUGUCUAGAGUUGCUUCGUCAGGUUUUAACUCCCUUGAAGUAAGAGCUCCUUCGCCUGUUGUGUCAACAGUUCCAACUGUCUCGUGGUCCUCUACCACGAGUUCACCUAAUACUUUGCCUUCAACUAUCCCUAUUCCUGGUAAGGCCCUCGGAGAGGUUUAACUCUCGCAAGUCAAGUUUUAUUUGCUCAUCCCAAGUUCUCCUGGGUCUACCUUGACUCCUCUUACUCUCUGCUAUAACAGAACAAGCUAAUUAAUGUCAAAUCAAAUAAUUUUGCACGAUUAGUAAUGUAGUAAAAAACUAAAGAAAGAACAAAGUAAUUAAUGUGAAAUGAAAUAAUUUAGCUUUAUUUUACAAAAAUACCCAUAUUGCUCUAUAAAAGGAUGGGUUUUCUUACAACCAAAAGGCAAGAAAAGAAUUAAGAUGGGUUUUCUAAUGAAAGCUUUUUUGUGUCUUAGCCUUUUACUUUUUUGUUCUUACAUUUAGGCAUCGGCUAGAGACAUUUCCAAACAAGUUGGUGAUCGUGUUCCAAUUGGCCGUAAGCGCUGUACUGUUUAUAAUCGUUGUCGAUUUCCCCCUGGUGUCGGAAAACAAGUUAUGGAUAAUAAGCCAGCCAAGAAAAGCGAGAUUGGGUGGCUACAAUUGCGGACAACCUUAAUUAGAAAUU